rnacentral:rRNA from 1 species
UAGGGAAUCUUCGGCAAUGGGGGGAACCCUGACCGAGCAACGCCGCGUGAGUGAAGAAGGUUUUCGGAUCGUAAAGCUCUGUUGUUAAGGAAGAACGAGUGUGAGAAUGGAAAGUUCAUACUGUGACGGUACUUAACCAGAAAGGGACGGCUAACUACGUGCCAGCAGCCGCGGUAAUACGUAGGUCCCGAGCGUUGUCCGGAUUUAUUGGGCGUAAAGCGAGCGCAGGCGGUUAGAUAAGUCUGAAGUGAAAGCCCCCGGCUCAACCGGGGAGGGUCAUUGGAAACUGGUUGACUUGAGUGCAGAAGAGGAGAGUGGAAUUCCAUGUGUAGCGGUGAAAUGCGUAGAUAUAUGGAGGAACACCAGUGGCGAAGGCGACUCUCUGGUCUGUAACUGACGCUGAGGCUCGAAAGCGUGGGUAGCAAACAGG